rnacentral:rRNA from 1 species
AAUGGGGGAUAACGUAGCGAAAGUUACGCUAAUACCGCAUAUGCCCUGAGGGGGAAAGGUGGGGAUCGCAAGACCUAUCGUUUUCGGAGUGGCCGAUAUCAGAUUAGCUAGUUGGUGGGGUAAAGGCCUACCAAGGCGACGAUCUGUAGCUGGUCUGAGAGGACGACCAGCCACACUGGGACUGAGACACGGCCCAGACUCCUACGGGAGGCAGCAGUGGGGAAUUUUGGACAAUGGGGGCAACCCUGAUCCAGCCAUGCCGCGUGAGUGAAGAAGGCCUUCGGGUUGUAAAGCUCUUUCGGACGGAAAGAAAUCGCGCCAGCUAAUAUCUGGUGUGGAUGACGGUACCGUAAGAAGAAGCACCGGCUAACUACGUGCCAGCAGCCGCGGUAAUACGUAGGGUGCGAGCGUUAAUCGGAAUUACUGGGCGUAAAGCGUGCGCAGGCGGUUUUGUAAGACAGACGUGAAAUCCCCGGGCUUAACCUGGGAACUGCGUUUGUGACUGCAAGGCUAGAGUACGGCAGAGGGGGGUAGAAUUCCA